CUCAUCUAGCGUGCCAAAGUUGAAGUUUCUACAAGAUGGAGAGAUUUUCGAAGACUUUUGAGAGUGUCCAAGUCAUUUGAAAGCGUUUGAAAGUAUUCUAAUAAGUUAUGAACUUUAAAUACAUAAAAAACUAAAUUGGCACAAAAUGGGAUGACCCAUCUGGGUCAUCCCCUUUAAUUGGAUAGUCGGCACGCUUCAUUUUGGAUCAUGACACGCAGUAGAAUGAUCUACCUAGGAUGACCCAUGCAGUGGGAUGACCUACCUAGGAUGACCCCUG
rnacentral:lncRNA from 1 species